rnacentral:rRNA from 1 species
AUUGAACGCUGGCGGCAGGCCUAACACAUGCAAGUCGAACGGUAACAGGAAGCAGCUUGCUGCUUCGCUGACGAGUGGCGGACGGGUGAGUAAUGUCUGGGAAGCUGCCUGAUGGAGGGGGAUAACUACUGGAAACGGUAACUAAUACCGCAUAAUGUCGCAAGAGCAAAGAGGGGGACCUUCUGGCCUCUUGCCAUCGGAUGUGCCCAGAUGGGGUUCGCUUGUUGGUGGGGUAACGGCGCACCAAGGCGACGAUCCCUAGCUGGUCUGAGAGGAUGACCAGCCACACUGGAACUGAGACACGGUCCAGACUCCUACGGGAGGCAGCAGUGGGGAAUAUUGGACAAUGGGCGCAAGCCUGAUGCAGCCAUGCCGCGUGUAUGAAGAAGGCCUUCGGGUUGUAAAGUACUUUUAGCGGGGAGGAAGGGAGUAAAGUUAAUACCUUUGCUCAUUGACGUUACCCGAAGAAGAAGCACCGGCUAACUCCGUG